ACCGAGAGCCACCACAGCGCUGC
rnacentral:misc_RNA from 1 species